rnacentral:rRNA from 1 species
CGAAGCAACGCGCAGAACCUUACCAACCCUUGACAUCCUUGGACCGCCGGAGAGAUCCGGCUUCUCGUAAGAGCCAAGUGACAGGUGCUGCAUGGCUGUCGUCAGCUCGUGUCGUGAGAUGUUCGGUUAAGUCCGGCAACGAGCGCAACCCACAUCCCUAGUUGCCAGCAGGUUAAGCUGGGCACUCUAUGGAAACUGCCCGUGAUAAGCGGGAGGAAGGUGUGGAUGACGUCAAGUCCUCAUGGCCCUUACGGGUUGGGCUACACACGUGCUACAAUGGCAGUGACAAUGGGUUAAUCCCAAAAAGCUGUCUCAGUUCGGAUUGGGGUCUGCAACUCGACCCCAUGAAGUCGGAAUCGCUAGUAAUCGCGUAACAGCAUGACGCGGUGAAUACGUUCCCGGGCCUU